AGUCGAGCGAGAAGCGGGGCAACUCGUGAGUACAGCGGCGUACGGGUGAGUAACACGUGGGUAAUCUACCUCUUAGUGGGGAAUAACCCUGGGAAACCGGGGCUAAUACCGCAUAAUCCUGUGAAGGGAAAGCAGCAAUGCGCUGAGAGAGGAGCCCGCGGCCGAUUAGCUAGUUGGUGAGGUAACGGCUCACCAAGGCAAAGAUCGGUAGCCGGCCUGAGAGGGCACACGGCCACACUGGCACUGAAACACGGGCCAGACUCCUACGGGAGGCAGCAGUGGGGAAUCUUGCACAAUGGGGGCAACCCUGAUGCAGCGACGCCGCGUGAGCGAUGAAGCCCUUCGGGGUGUAAAGCUCUUUCGGCCGGAACGAUAAUGACGGUACCGGAGGAAGAAGCUGCGGCUAACUACGUGCCAGCAGCCGCGGUAAUACGUAGGCAGCAAGCGUUGUUCGGAGUUACUGGGCGUAAAGAGUGCGUAGGCGGUGACCUAAGUUCGGUGUGAAAUCUCCCGGCUUAACUGGGAGGGUGCGCCGAAAACUGGGAUGCUGGAGUGUGGGAAAGGCAAGCGGAAUUCCUGGUGUAGCGGUGAAAUGCGUAGAUAUCAGGAGGAACACCGGCGGUGUAGACGGCUUGCUAGACCAUAACUGACGCUGAGGCACGAAAGCGUGGGUAGCAAACAGGAUUAGAUACCCUGGUAGUCCACGCCCUAAACGAUGCAUACUUGGUGUGGGCAGUUCAUUCUGUC
rnacentral:rRNA from 1 species